rnacentral:rRNA from 1 species
CCUACGGGUGGCAGCAGUGGGGAAUCUUCCACAAUGGUCGUAAGCCUGAAGCAGCAACGCCGCGUGGAUGAAGAAGGCCUUCGGGUCGUAAAACUCUUUUGAUAGGGAAGAAAAUGCGUGUAAGUAACUGUUUAUGUAUUGACGGUAUCUAUACAGACAGCCACGGCUAACUCCGUGCCAGCAGCCGCGGUAAUACGUAGGGGGCUAGCGUUGUUCGGAUUUGUUGGGCGUAAAGGUAACGCAGGCGGUGUUUUAAGUCAGUAGUCAAAGACUAGAGCUUAACCGGAGUAAGGCUGUGGUUACUGGAAUACUUGAGUGCCAGAGAGGAGUGCAGAAUUCCUGGUGUAGCGGUGAAAUGCGUAGAUAUAAGGAAGAACACCGGUUGCGAAGGCAGCAAUCUGGCGUGCAACUGACGCUGAGGUGCGAAAGCGUGGGUAGCAAACAGGAUUAGAUACCCGUGUAGUC